GACGAACCUUGCUAACGUUAUUCGGAAUUACUGGGCUUAAAGGGUGCGUAGGCGGUGCGGAAAGUUGGGUGUGAAAUCCCUCGGCUCAACCGAGGAAUUGCGCCCAAAACUGCCGCACUAGAGGAAGACAGAGGUACGCGGAACUUAGGGUGGAGCGGUGAAAUGCGUUGAUAUCCUAAGGAACACCGGUGGCGAAAGCGGCGUACUGGGUCUUAUCUGACGCUGAGGCACGAAAGCUAGGGGAGCGA
rnacentral:rRNA from 1 species